rnacentral:lncRNA from 1 species
UUUUUUUUUUUAGUGGCUGCAAUUCCUUUUUAGCAUUUUGCCUCUUUCUCUAAAUAUUCUAAGCACAACUUGUAUAUACUGCUCACAGAGAUACCCAUAGAUCGAACUCGCAAAAGUGCAUUUGAACAAAGGGCUUAAACACUCAAAUAAUUAAAUUGCAGGCUUUCCUAUUGAUGUAAAAGACAUAUUAUUUUUGCUUAAACCUAAUAGUCAAUGGAUUAUGAAAUUUAAUACCAUUAAAUGUACCACCUGGAAAAAAAAAGUUGAUGAUCUAUGAUGCAUGCUCAGGAAUAAUUCUAUACAGCAUAUAUAUUGGUCACAGUAACUUUUGGAAACUUUGAAAUGUAUUGAAUAUAUUCCAAGUGAGUUGUCUUGUUCUUUUUUUUUUUUCUUCCCCACAUGGUUUUCAGCUGAUAGGCAGCCAUUUUGUGCCUAUCCCAGUUGGCAAAUAUAACACAAUUUGAUCUCUUUCCAUUCUUAGAAACAAUGAAGCCCUUUGUUUUUGCCUUUCAAGAUGAUAAAUGGAAUUGCAGUCAUUCCUCUAGUGGCUAAUACCUGCCAGCAGAUCCUGAAAGAUGUCAUUGAUUUCUAGAUGUAUCCUGAUUUCAAGAAUGAACUGCCCAGCACUCCCAUCCACGUAUGGUUAUCAAUCUUAAGACUAUAACGGCAUUUGUGAAACAUUCACCAACAGAUGGGGAAGUGGAGGCACAGUGCAGAUUUCUUCAAAAGUGUGGCUACCCGACAUAAACAUCCUCUACCCAGAUUCCAUUUGAAGUGCUGAAAGAUGAAAAGUAUAUGGGCUUUGGUGCUUGGCAGAACUGAGUCCUCUUUCCAGCAAUGACCUUAGCUCACAUACGUUUUCUAUUCUGUAAAAUAAAGGCAAUAAAACAGAAAUAUUGUGCUGUUUCUCUGAG